rnacentral:misc_RNA from 1 species
AACGCACAUUGCGCCCCUUGGUAUUCCGGGGGGCAUGCCUGUUCGAGCGUCAUUACACCCCUCAAGCCUGGCUUGGUCUUGGGCUCCGCCGUUCGUUCGGCGGGCCUUAAAAUCAGUGGCGGUGCCUCCGCGGCCCUGAGCGUAGUAAAUUUCCUCGCUUUUGGACCCGGUGGUUACUGGCCAGCAACCCCCAACUUCUAAGUUUGACCUCGGAUCAGGUAGGGAUACCCGCUGAACUUAA